GAACGUACGCUGGCGGCACGCCUAACACAUGCAAGUCGAACGAAGUAGCAAUACUUAGUGGCAGACGGGUGAGUAACAUGUAGGUAUCUGCCCUUUGGCCUGGAAUAACACGAGGAAACUUGUGCUAAUACCGGAUAAGUCUUUACGGAGAAAGCUUUAUGCACCAUUGGAUGAGCCUGCACUUGAUUAGUUUGUUGGUGGGGUAAUGGCCUACCAAGACUGUGAUCAAUAGCUGAUUUGAGAGGAUGAUCAGCCACAUUGGGACUGAGACACGGCCCAAACUCCUACGGGAGGCAGCAGUGGGGAAUCUUGCACAAUGGAGGAAACUCUGAUGCAGCGAUGCCGCGUGAGUGAAGAAGGCCUUUGGGUUGUAAAGCUCUUUCGUCGGGGAAGAAAAUGACUGUACCCGAAUAAGAAGGUCCGGCUAACUUCGUGCCAGCAGCCGCGGUAAUACGAAGGGACCUAGCGUAGUUCGGAAUUACUGGGCUUAAAGAGUUCGUAGGUGGUUGAAAAAGUUAGUGGUGAAAUCCCAGAGCUUAACUCUGGAACUGCCAUUAAAACUUUUCAGCUAGAGUAUGAUAGAGGAAAGCAGAAUUUCUAGUGUAGAGGUGAAAUUCGUAGAUAUUAGAAAGAAUACCAAUUGCGAAGGGCAGCUUUCUGGAUCAUUACUGACACUGAGGAACGAAAGCAUGGGUAGCGAAGAGGAUUAGAUACCCUCGUAGUCCAUGCCGUAAACGAUGUGUGUUAGACGUUGGAAAUUUAUUUUCAGUGUCGCAGCGAAAGCGAUAAACACACCGCCUGGGGAGUACGACCGCAAGGUUAAAACUCAAAUGAAUUGACGGGGACCCGCACAAGUAGUGGAGCAUGUGGUUUAAUUCGAAGAUACGCGCAGAACCUUACCAACACUUGACAUGUUCGUCGCGACUCUAAGAGAUUAGAGUUUUCGGUUCGGCCGGACGAAACACAGGUGCUGCAUGGCUGUCGUCAGCUCGUGUCGUGAGAUGUUGGGUUAAGUCCCGCAACGAGCGCAACCCUCACUUUUAGUUGCCAUCAUUAAGUUGGGCACUCUGAAAGAACUGCCAGUGAUAAGCUGGAGGAAGGUGGGGAUGACGUCAAGUCCUCAUGGCCCUUACGUGUUGGGCUACACACGUGCUACAAUGGUAUCUACAACAGGAAGCAAGACUGCGAAGUUAAGCAAAUCCCUAAAAGAUACCUCAGUUCGGAUUGCACUCUGCAACUCGAGUGCAUGAAGCUGGAAUUACUAGUAAUCGUGGAUCAGCGUGCCACGGUGAAUGCGUUCCCGGGUCUUGUACUCACCGCC
rnacentral:rRNA from 1 species